AUUGAGACUUCGGUGGAUUUGAUCUAUUUCUAGUGGCGGACGGGUGAGUAACGCGUGGGUAACCUGCCUUAUACAGGGGGAUAACAGUCAGAAAUGGCUGCUAAUACCGCAUAAGCGCACAGAGCCGCAUGGCUCGGUGUGAAAAACUCCGGUGGUAUGGGAUGGGCCCGCGUCUGAUUAGGCAGUUGGCGGGGUAACGGCCCACCAAACCGACGAUCAGUAGCCGGCCUGAGAGGUUGAACGGCCACAUUGGGACUGAGAUACGGCCCAGACUCC
rnacentral:rRNA from 1 species